rnacentral:rRNA from 1 species
UACGUAGGGUGCAAGCGUUGUCCGGAAUUAUUGGGCGUAAAGAGCUCGUAGGCGGUUUGUUGCGUCGGCUGUGAAAUCCCGAGGCUCAACCUCGGGUCUGCAGUCGAUACGAGCAAACUAGAGUGUUGCAGGGGAGACUGGAAUUCCUGGUGUAGCGGUGAAAUGCGCAGAUAUCAGGAAGAACACCCGUGGCGAAAGCGGCUCUCUGGGACGGUACUGACGCUGAGGAGCGAAAGCGUGGGUAGCAAACAGG